rnacentral:rRNA from 1 species
UACGUAGGUGACAAGCGUUGUCCGGAUUUACUGGGCGUAAAGAGCGCGCAGGCGGUCGAUCAAGUCGAGUGUGAAAGCCCCCGGCUCAACUGGGGAGGGUCAUUCGAUACUGAUCGACUCGAAGGCAGGAGAGGGUAGUGGAAUUCCCGGUGUAGUGGUGAAAUGCGUAGAUAUCGGGAGGAACACCGGUGGCGAAGGCGGCUACCUGGACCGGUACUGACGCUGAGGCGCGAAAGCUAGGGUAGCAAACAGG